UACAGAGGUCUCAAGCGUUGUUCGGAUUCAUUGGGCGUAAAGGGUGCGUAGGCGGCGCGGUAAGUCGGGUGUGAAAUCUCGGGGCUUAACUCCGAAACUGCAUUCGAUACUGCCGUGCUUGAGGACUGGAGAGGAGACUGGAAUUUACGGUGUAGCGGUGAAAUGCGUAGAUAUCGUAAGGAGGACCAGUGGCGAAGGCGGGUCUCUGGGCAAUUCCUGACGCUGAGGCGCGAAAGCGUGGGGAGCAAACGGG
rnacentral:rRNA from 1 species